rnacentral:rRNA from 1 species
GACGAACGCUGGCGGCGUGCCUAAUACAUGCAAGUAGAACGCUGAAGAGAGGAGCUUGCUCUUCUUGGAUGAGUUGCGAACGGGUGAGUAACGCGUAGGUAACCUGCCUUGUAGCGGGGGAUAACUAUUGGAAACGAUAGCUAAUACCGCAUAACAAUGGAUGACACAUGUCAUUUAUUUGAAAGGGGCAAUUGCUCCACUACAAGAUGGACCUGCGUUGUAUUAGCCAGUAGGUGAGGUAAUGGCUCACCUAGGCGACGAUACAUAGCCGACCUAAGAGGGUGAUCGGCCACACUGGGACGGAGACACGGCCCAGACUCCUACGGGAGGCAGCAGUAGGGAAUCUUCGGCAAUGGGGGCAACCCUGACCGGGCAACGCCGCGUGAGUGAAGAAGGUUUUCGGAUCGUAAAGCUCGGUUGUAAGUCAAGAACGGGUGUGAGAGUGGAAAGUUCACACUGUGACGGUAGCUGACCAGAAAGGGACGGCUAACUACGUG